rnacentral:misc_RNA from 1 species
GAUGAAGAACGCAGCGAAAUGCGAUAAGUAAUGUGAAUUGCAGAAUUCAGUGAAUCAUCGAAUCUUUGAACGCACCUUGCGCCCUUUGGCUAUUCCGAAGGGCAUGCCUGUUUGAGUAUCAUGAACACCUCAACUCUCAUGGUUCGCCAUGAUGAGCUUGGACUCUGGGGGUCUUGCUGGCCUAUGGUCAGCUCCUCUCAAAUAAAUCAGCUUGCCAGUGUUUGGUGGCAUCACAGGUGUGAUAACUAUCUACGCUUGUGGUUUUCCAUCAGGUAACCUUCAGUGAUUGAGGUUCGCUGGAGCUCAUAAAUGUCCCUCCUCAGCGAGGACAGCUUUUUGAACGUUUGAUCUCAAAUCAGGUAGGACUACCCGCUGAACUUAAGCAUAUCAAUAAGCGGAGGA